UCCCUCGAGCCGGAUUUGAACCAGCGACCUAAGGAUCACCGUUGUAACAUCUACAGUCCUCCGCUCUGACAACUGAGCUAUCGAGGG
rnacentral:tRNA from 1 species